rnacentral:lncRNA from 1 species
GGGGGCUGAUUUUUGGGCGCGGGUGUGCCCGUGGCCUAUUUUUGGCACACGGAGGCCGCCCGCAAAGUCUGGGGCCAUUCCGAGUCCGGCGGACGAGCUACGCCCACGCCCCCCACCAAGGCUAUAGCCCACCCAUUUUUUGGCCAUUUUUCCGCUGGGGGGUCUUUGCGCCCCGACCUUCGGGGGCUGAAUUUUGGGCGCGGGUGUGCCCGUGGCCUAUUUUUGGCACACGGAGGCCGCCCGCAAAGUCUGGGGCCAUUCCGAGUCCGGCGGACGAACUUCGCCCACGCCCCCCACCAAGGCUAUAGCCCACCCGUUUUUUGGCCAUUUUUCCGCUGGGGGGUCUUGGCGCCCCGACCUUCGGGGGCUGAUUUUUGGGCGCGGGUGUGCCCGUGGCCUAUUUCGGGCACACGGAGGCCGCCCGCAAAGUCGGGGGCCAUUUCGAGUCCGGCGGACGAACUUCGCCCACGCCCCCCACCAAGGCUAUAGCCCACCCGUUUUUUGGCCAUUUUUCCGCUGGGGGGUCUUGGCGCCCCGACCUUCGGGGGCUGAAUUUUGGGCGCGGGUGUGCCCGUGGCCUAUUUUUGGCACACGGAGGCCGCCCGCAAAGUCUGGGGCCAUUCCGAGUCCGGCGGACGAACUUCGCCCACGCCCCCCACCAAGGCUAUAGCCCACCCGUUUUUUGGCCAUUUUUCCGCUGGGGGGUUUUGGCACCACGACCUUCGCGCGCUUAUUUCUGGGCGCGGCUUUGCCCGCGGCUUAUUUUUGGCACCCCGAGGCCCCUCGCAAAGUCUCGCCCCAUUCCGAGUCCGGCGGACGAACUUCGCCCGCGCCCCCCACCAAGGCUAUAGCCCACCCGUUUUUUGGCCAUUUUUCCGCUGGGGGGUUUUGGCACCACGACCUUCGCGCGCUUAUUUCUGGGCGCGGCUUUGCCCGCGGCUUAUUUUUGGCACCCCGAGGCCCCUCGCAAAGUCUCGCCGCAUUCCGAGUCCGGCGGACGAACGUCGCCCGCGCCCCCCACCAAGUCUAUAGCCCACCCGUUUUUUGGCCAUUUUUCCGCUCGGGGGUUUUGGCACCACGACCUUCGGGCGCUUAUUUUUGGGCGCGGCUUUGCCCGCGGCUUAUUUUUGGCACCCCGAGGCCCCUCGCAAAGUCUCGCCCCAUUCCGAGUCCGGCGGACGAACUUCGCCCGCGCCCCCCACCAAGGCUAUAGCCCACCCGUUUUUUGGCCAUUUUUCCGCUGGGGGGUCUUGGCGCCCCGACCUUCGGGGGCUGAUUUUUGGGCGCGGGUGUGCCCGUGGCCUAUUUUUGGCACACGGAGGCCGCCCGCAAAGUCUGGGGCCAUUCCGAGUCCGGCGGACGAACUUCGCCCACGCCCCCCACCAAGGCUAUAGCCCACCCGUUUUUUGGCCAUUUUUCCGCUGGGGGGUCUUGGCGCCCCGACCUUCGGGGGCUGAAUUUUGGGCGCGGGUGUGCCCGUGGCCUAUUUUUGGCACACGGAGGCCGCCCGCAAAGUCUGGGGCCAUUCCGAGUCCGGCGGACGAACUUCGCCCACGCCCCCCACCAAGGCUAUAGCCCACCCGUUUUUUGGCCAUUUUUCCGCUGGGGGGUCUUGGCGCCCCGACCUUCGGGGGCUGAAUUUUGGGCGCGGGUGUGCCCGUGGCCUAUUUUUGGCACACGGAGGCCGCCCGCAAAGUCUGGGGCCAUUCCGAGUCCGGCGGACGAACUUCGCCCACGCCCCCCACCAAGGCUAUAGCCCACCCGUUUUUUGGCCAUUUUUCCGCUGGGGGGUCUUGGCGCCCCGACCUUCGGGGGCUGAAUUUUGGGCGCGGGUGUGCCCGUGGCCUAUUUUUGGCACACGGAGGCCGCCCGCAAAGUCUGGGGCCAUUCCGAGUCCGGCGGACGAACUUCGCCCACGCCCCCCACCAAGGCUAUAGCCCACCCGUUUUUUGGCCAUUUUUCCGCUGGGGGGUCUUGGCGCCCCGACCUUCGGGGGCUGAUUUUUGGGCGCGGGUGUGCCCGUGGCCUAUUUUUGGCACACGGAGGCCGCCCGCAAAGUCUGGGGCCAUUCCGAGUCCGGCGGACGAACUUCGCCCACGCCCCCCACCAAGGCUAUAGCCCACCCGUUUUUUGGCCAUUUUUCCGCUGGGGGGUCUUGGCGCCCCGACCUUCGGGGACUGAUUUUUGGGCGCGGCUGUGCCCGUGGCCUAUUUUUGGCACACGGAGGCCGCCCGCAAAGUCUGGGGCCAUUCCGAGUCCGGCGGACGAACUUCGCCCACGCCCCCCACCAAGGCUAUAGCCCACCCGUUUUUUGGCCAUUUUUCCGCUGGGGGGUCUUGGCGCCCCGACCUUCGGGGGCUGAAUUUUGGGCGCGGGUGUGCCCGUGGCCUAUUUUUGGCACACGGAGGCCGCCCGCAAAGUCUGGGGCCAUUCCGAGUCCGGCGGACGAACUUCGCCCACGCCCCCCACCAAGGCUAUAGCCCACCCGUUUUUUGGCCAUUUUUCCGCUGGGGGGUCUUGGCGCCCCGACCUUCGGGGGCUGAAUUUUGGGCGCGGGUGUGCCCGUGGCCUAUUUUUGGCACACGGAGGCCGCCCGCAAAGUCUGGGGCCAUUCCGAGUCCGGCGGACGAACUUCGCCCACGCCCCCCACCAAGGCUAUAGCCCACCCGUUUUUUGGCCAUUUUUCCGCUGGGGGGUCUUGGCGCCCCGACCUUCGGGGGCUGAUUUUUGGGCGCGGGUGUGCCCGUGGCCUAUUUUUGGCACACGGAGGCCGCCCGCAAAGUCUGGGGCCAUUGCGAGUCCGGCGGACGAACUUCGCCCACCACCCCCACCAAGGCUAUAGCCCACCCGUUUUUUGGCCAUUUUUCCGCUGGGGGGUCUUGGCGCCCCGACCUUCGGGGGCUGAAUUUUGGGCGCGGGUGUGCCCGUGGCCUAUUUUUGGCACACGGAGGCCGCCCGCAAAGUCUGGGGCCAUUCCGAGUCCGGCGGACGAACUUCGCCCACGCCCCCCACCAAGGCUAUAGCCCACCCGUUUUUUGGCCAUUUUUCCGCUGGGGGGUCUUGGCGCCACGACCUUCGGGGGCUUAAUUUUGGGCGCGGGUGUUCCCGUGGCCUAUUUUUGGCACACGGAGGCCGCCCGCAAAGUCUGGGCCAUUCCGAGUCCGGCGGACGAACUUCGCCCACGCCCCCCACCAAGGCUAUAGCCGACCCGUUUUUUGGCCAUUUUUCCGCUGGGGGGUCUUGGCGCCCCGACCUUCGGGGGCUGAAUUUUGGGCGCGGGUGUGCCCGUGGCCUAUUUUUGGCACACGGAGGCCGCCCGCAAAGUCUGGGGCCAUUCCGAGUCCGGCGGACGAACUUCACCCACGCCCCCCACCAAGGCUAUAGGCCACCCGUUUUUUGGACAUUUUUCCGCUGGGGGGUCUUGGCGCCCCGACCUUCGGGGGCUGAAUUUGGGGCGCGGGUGUGCCCGUGGCCUAUUUUUGGCACACGGAGGCCGCCCGCAAAGUCUGGGGCCAUUCCGAGUCCGGCGGACGAACUUCGCCCACGCCCCCCACCAAGGCUAUAGCCCACCCGUUUUUUGGCCAUUUUUCCGCUGGGGGGUCUUGGCGCCCCGACCUUCGGGGGCUGAAUUUUGGGCGCGGGUGUGCCCGUGGCCUAUUUUUGGCACACGGAGGCCGCCCGCAAAGUCUGGGGCCAUUCCGAGUCCGGCGGACUAACUUCGCCCACGCCCCCCACCAAGGCUAUAGCCCACCCGUUUUUUGGCCAUUUUUCCGCUGGGGGGUCUUGGCGCCCCGACCUUCGGGGGCUGAAUUUUGGGCGCGGGUGUGCCCGUGGCCUAUUUUUGGCACACGGAGGCCGCCCGCAAAGUCUGGGGCCAUUCCGAGUCCGGCGGACGAACUUCGCCCACGCCCCCCACCAAGGCUAUAGCCCACCCGUUUUUUGGCCAUUUUUCCGCUGGGGGGUCUUGGCGCCCCGACCUUCGGGGGCUGAAUUUUGGGCGCGGGUGUGCCCGUGGCCUAUUUUUGGCACACGGAGGCCGCCCGCAAAGUCUGGGGCCAUUCCGAGUCCGGCGGACGAACUUCGCCCACGCCCCCCACCAAGGCUAUAGCCCACCCGUUUUUUGGCCAUUUUUCCGCUGGGGGGUCUUGGCGCCCCGACCUUCGGGGGCUGAAUUUUGGGCACGGGUGUGCCCGUGGCCUAUUUUUGGCACACGGAGGCCGCCCGCAAAGUCUGGGGCCAUUCCGAGUCCGGCGGACGAACUUCGCCCACGCCCCCCAC